UCACUUGCAUAAUUGCAUUGUUUUGGAUGAUUGAUAGUUGAAGUUUAUUCUACCACAUUCCUUGGGUCAGUAUUCGGUAAAUUACAAAAUAUCAGUCCUAUGGUGUUGGAUUUGGAGAUUGUAGAAUAUUGAAACACAUAUAUAUAUGAUCUAUACAUAUUACUCACUACUUUGUGUAAUGUUUAACAUGAUCUAUUAGAAUAUGUGGUGAUGUUUUAUGACAGGUUUGUUUCAAUUAAUGAAGGUUGUAGAUUUAUUGGGUAUAUAGAAUUUGACAAUUUUUUCUUCAUCUUUAGUUGUAUAUCAAAAUUAGGAAAAUUUUUAGACAUUCUGUGGCUCCUUGUUCUGUGUACUGAUUAAUUUUUUGUUUCAUCUAACCAUUUUUAACUCACUUUCUGAUAUAGAGACAUAACAUUUAAGAAAUGUAUGAUAUCUAUUUUGUGUUUGUGAAAGAGAGAGUUUUUGUGAGUGUGUGUGAGAGGGAGAGAGAGAGAGAGAGAGGAAUAUGCCAUUUUAUUAUUGUUUAAAUUGGCAAUCCUUUUUGUUCUAUCCUAAGAGAGCAAUAGCACCGAAAUUUUAGUCUGGUUAGUUUGUUAUAAUUGUGGCAUGCGUGAACUUAAAAUCCAUCCAAUAAUUUUAACAUAAUUCAUAGACACUAAACAGACUCUAGUGUAUAAAACGGGCCAUACAUCAAGCACAAUUAUCAAUAGUGCAAUAUAACAGUGCGGUGCAGCCAUGGCAACUGCAAUUGUGACCAAAAUUGCAUUUGUUGUUUUGGCUGGAUUGACUUUUGUGUAUUACGCUGCCUUUGGAUGGAGAAGAAAAAAGCCUAGUGACAGGUUCCAAUUGUCUACAUAAGGUAUGGCUUAGCCUGGAAAAGCACUUUCUGGAGUGAGUCAUGGGGGAUUCCUUGCAUCAUAUCAUUUAGAGUGGUUUUUAUAUUUGGAUGUGUUUUGGCCUAGUUGUUUUAUGUUGAAAGCAAUAGAGCAAGCUGGUCAUCAUCUGAGUAGAAUAAUUUGAUGCGAUCGAAUCAUUGGUUGGGUGCUAGUGCUACAACUUUGGCCUUUGCUUCUUCUGUAGCCUUUGUAUGUAUUAUUCCUUUGUUUGAUUGUGUAAUUCCACUCAUUAUGUAAUUAAACGUAUUAUUACGUGUAUGCAAAGAGUACUGGAUUCCUACAAUACUGAGGUAACGGGCGUAAAGCAACCCUUGCCAGGGAGAAAUUGUACGAGCAGGGUAUUUUUCUUUUUCUUUUAUUGACCAUACAUGUUUUUGUACCUCAUUCUUUGUAUAAUAGUUCAGUGGGGCUUUCAUGUGUAUUACCGUUAUGAAGUUUUUAUUUUGCAUUUGAUGUUUAUUGAUUA